CAAUGUAUUGUGCACCUCUGCAUUCCGAUGUGGCCACAAAACCCUUCCUCACUCCGCUUGUGGAUCAGGAACACAACUUGAAUGUGGGAGCUGUAGAGAUUGGGGAGCCUGGGAUUCCAGGUUGUGGUGUUUUUGCCGAGAUUACACAAGAUAUCUCAACCUUUUUGGAGGGUUUCUUUGAUAACGAUUGUGAAAAUUCCCGGCGACUUGAUGCACUGAGAGCUAUAUCUGUGGUAAAGAAUUAUGCGAGGGCAAAGUUGUAGCUGAAAAUAACAUUAGGUUUAUCCUGGCUCCGUCAAGCACCCGAGUUUGCCGCUGACGCAAACGCUUGUGAAGGUCAGCACAAUCAGAAUGUGUUCAAGGCGAAGCAAUGAGAUGUGUAGAUGUGGCAGACGUUUUGAGUUGGGCGGCAUGGCUAACCGUGAAUUGAACAGACCAAAUCCAGGAUUUUUUGGAAUCAGUCUGCUGACAUCGUAACAAUGCAGAAAACAAUCCGCAGCUGGGUGACUCAGAAUGUAAGGGCAAAAUGACUCAUUAUUCACGUUUCUUCGAAUCCAAAUACCAAAUGAUGGCCUGACUUGUUCAGUCUUCUCAAGACGAUGAACUCCCCGUUCUAUUGGUCCGAUGAGGAGUUGGCAACGAAACCCACCUUCUGGGACCCGUUCUUGGUCAUGUCGAAUUUCUCGAGGAUGAUUAUGACAAAUUGAUGGGUAAGGCCUCGGAAAAGGAAGGCUGAAAUUUUUGAUCCUGGUGUUUACUCCCUCUGAUGCAGUAUUUUUGGGUUUCUGAAGAUCUGUCGGACGCGCUAAAUUGCUCCCCAAUGAGUGACGACCUUGCCGUCGGCUUGUGGAGUAGAUGUCGGCAAUGGUGCCCAGAGUGAUUUGAAGAAGAAAAUGGUCAAAUCUGAAAUAAAGGGGAAUGCACAGGAACCCACUUGCAGAUUCAGCUGCAGCAAAUUUAAAAUCUAGACAGUAGGUUCUGAUUCGUUAUAGAGGAGCUAAGAAUGACGCAGAUCUUGCACACGAUUGCGAAUUUGUUGAGCAGAGAGAAACCCUCGAUUUGUUGGAAAAAUGGAACGAGACUCCUCGGCAAUGAGGGUGGUGAAGAGCGUUGGAUGGUACACUACCACUGUAGAAGAGGAUGUGGAGCUUUAGAAAAAGCGAAAUCUUAGUCUAAGUCAUGAAGUGGCCGUGGUUGUGAGACCAAGAGAGGAGAAGUUGCAAACAUGGUUUGAGACGAGGUGGGAGAAGUUGGAUAUUUUAGAAUAUGUUGCUGCGCUUGAGCUUAGAAAUCUUAGCCUCGGGGACACGAGUGCCUACACGAUUUCUCGGGUGUUGAAUGACUGAAGCCCUCGGUUAUGUGCUCAAACCGCUUUCGUGCUUUGCAUUUACUUGCCACAUUUAGAGACCAGUGCAUCAGAUCUGAUUGACAUGCUUUACGGUAUUGGCUUCGCCGUAGCUCGUAAGGCAUUAAUGAAGCAGGCAAAUGUCUGUCUGAGUGAUCUUCAACUUUAAGCCAUGGAAGGUUGAAGCACUUGGCAGGAUUUGAGAGGGCUAGUCUGAAAGGGUAAAGGAUUUGAGUGUGUUUCCGCAAGCUCAAUCUGGAUGAAUGGCGCUGGAUCAGUAACAUGCAAAACCGCUUGAUGAGAUAUGAGGAGUAGCGAGUGGAGCUUUCAUCAGUCCUGGGCUCGUCCCUGGCUGACUCUGCGUCUUCAUGAGGCAUCACAGGUUACUAAUGUCUCGUGCUGCACUGAAGACGGGGUUAUUUUGUGAUUAAUUGUACCUGUAUGUAACAACGUUAGGGAUACAUUACACAUGGAGGCAUCCUUUCGACAAAACUGAUGCCCGUAGAGUCUCUUCAAUUGUUCUUCAUGACGAGGAGGCCCUUUGAACACUUGCGAUAAAUUCAUACUGCCAAAAUGCUUUCCCUGCUUGAAAGCUAAAGGAAAUGCUAGCAUGUUGUGCAUGUGUUUUCGACCUUGAUAUCUUGAUCUUUCAUUAUGUCUCCAUUGUUGAAAUUGUGGUGAACUCAUGCCCUAGAGUGCAAUAGGGUGACAAGGUUCUUGAAAGUGUGCGUUUCAAGACUGGAACUAGUAGAGUAUGAAAAACCGGUUGUGCCCAGUACAAAAUCGUUUGUUAUUUCGAAGUCAUCGUGGACGAAAGGGAUCAGAAUGGAGUGGCUUCACAAGAAGCUGAGGAGGAGCGGGCCCGUGCUCGGCGUAGGCUAAGAGCAGAUCAGGAUGCCGAGUAUCAGGCUGCACUUCUCCAGGAUCAGGAGAGAGAGGAUCGAAGGCGGCAGAAGGCGUUGCGGGCAGCACGAAAGAAGAGGGAAGUGGAAGAAGCAGCUGCCGCAGCAGCGAAGAAGGAAGUUGCUCUUGAUGCCCGUCGCCGCCGAAAGGGAGAUGUUCUGGAGACUGAGCCCGAGCCUGGCCCGGAUGUAAUCAGAGUACGUAUACGACUGCCAAAUGGAGAGCUAUGUGAACGCACGUUUCUGAACACUUCGACUGUGCAGGUUGUGUAUGACUACGUCGACACACUGAUGUGCUUCGAUGUGCUUUCAUACACUCUCUUCUCCAGUUUUCCACGAGUUGUCUACGACUCAGGAAACCGAGACAAGACUUUGAAAGCUGCAGGAUUCGAUUCUCGGGUCACGCUGUUUGUCCAGAUUGAUGAAGAUAAGUAGACAACAGGUAAUAAUGUCCACGGCACGAUCCGUUCUGGUUCGUGGGUUGCCGUAGAAUUCUCUAAGACUACAUUGAAUUGCCGUCCAAAAAACCCUCACUCGAAUAAAUGCCGUGUAAUUACUGUGCCGGCCGAAUUGUCCGACAA